rnacentral:ncRNA from 2 species
UAGAAUCUAGGCGAUGGAGCUCGCCAUAACCGCCGUCCGGCGAUCGCGCUAAAAUUUGCGCCGACCUUUUUUCUAAACUGGCUUUGGACUGGCUGAUGGCUCCUACUUGUUU